GAUGAGCGCUAGCGGCAGGCCUAAUACAUGCAAGUCGGACGGGAUUCAGGAGCUUGCUUCUGAUGAGAGUGGCGCACGGGUGCGUAACACGUAUGUAACCUACCUUUAUCAGGGGGAUAGCCUCUCGAAAGAGAGAUUAAGCCCGCAUAAAAUCACAGCACAGCAUUGUGUAAUGAUCAAAUAUUUAUAGGAUAAAGAUGGGCAUGCGGAACAUUAGCUAGAUGGCGGGGUAACGGCCCACCAUGGCGACGAUGUUUAGGGGAUCUGAGAGGAUGGCCCCCCACACUGGUACUGAGACACGGACCAGACUCCUACGGGAGGCAGCAGUAAGGAAUAUUGGUCAAUGGGCGGAAGCCUGAACCAGCCAUGCCGCGUGCAGGAAGACGGCCCUACGGGUUGUAAACUGCUUUUAUACGGGAAUAAACCCAGAUACGUGUAUCUGGCUGAAUGUACUGUAAGAAUAAGGAUCGGCUAACUCCGUG
rnacentral:rRNA from 1 species